UACGUAGGGGGCUAGCGUUGUCCGGAUUUAUUGGGCGUAAAGAGCGUGUAGGCGGCCAGGUAGGUCUGGUGUGAAAACUCGAGGCUUAACCUCGAGAUGUCAUCGGAAACCAUCUGGCUAGAGUCCGGAAGAGGAGAGUGGAAUUCCUGGUGUAGCGGUGAAAUGCAUUGAGAUCGGAAAGAACACCAACGGCGAAAGCACUCUGCUGGGCCGACACUGACACUGAGAGACGAAAGCUAGGGGAGCAAAUGGG
rnacentral:rRNA from 1 species